GUUGUGAGCUGCCACGUGGGUUCUGGGAAUUGAACCCGGUCCUUUGGAAGAGCCGCCAGUGCUCUUAACCACUGAGCCAUCUCUCCAGCCCCUCCACUCAUUUUCUUCCUGCUCUCCAAUGUCUAAAAAUUUUCCAUCUUCAAGCCUGGUAUGAUGGCAAACACCUGUAACCUACUUUUUUUUCUUUUUUUCAAAGCAGAGGACCAAACCCAGGGCCUUGUGCAUACUAGGCAAGCGCUCUACCACUGAGCUAAAUCCCCAACCCCUGUAAUCCACUUCCUGGAGGCAGAAGCAGGAGAAAGAUCAGGAGCUGAAGCCAUCCCCAGUUACACAGUGUUAUCUCAACACGUGAGCUCUCAGCUCCUGCUCCAGUGUCAUGCCCACCAGGAAGGUCGCAGACUCACCCUAUGAACCUGUAAGCCCAAUAAACUCUGUUUUGUGUAA